CUGUAGCUCUGAGAGAGGAGCCUUAGCCCUGGAUUCCAAGGCAUUUCCACGGGGUGAUUAGCACUGAACGCAGAGGACUAACCAUGGAGUUGGGGCUGAGCUGGGUUUUCCUUGUUGCUAUUUUAGAAGGUGUCCAGUGUGAGGUGCAGCUGGUGGAGUCUGGGGGAGGCUUGGUCCAGCCUGGGGGUUCCCUGAGACUCUCCUGUGCAGCCUCUGGAUUCACCUUUGGUGAUUAUGACAUGAGCUGGGUCCGCCAGGCUCCAGGGAAGGGACUGGAGUGGGUCUCAUACAUUAGUUACACUGGUAAAACCACAUACUACGCUGACUCCGUGAAGGGCCGAUUCACCAUCUCCAGAGACAACGCCAAGAACUCGCUGUCUCUGCAAAUGAACAGCCUGAGAGCCGAGGACACGGCCGUGUAUUACUGUACUAGAGACACAGUGAGGCGAGGUCAGUGUGAGCCCAGACACAAACCUCCCUGCAGGGGUCCCCGUGACCACCAGGGGGCGCCCGCGACACAAACCUCCCUGCAGGGGUCCCCGUGACCACCAGGGGGCGCCCGGGACACAAACCUCCCUGCAGGGGUCCCCGUGACCACCAGGGGGCGCCCGGACACUGAGCUCGGGGCUGUCUCCGGGGCAGGAGCCGGUGCCAAGGCCUGGCUUCCUGUCAUGGUCUGCGGCUCCUCAUUGUCAAAUUUCCACAGGGAACGUCUCCAGAUUUACAAUCUGUACUAACAUUUCACGUCUCUGAAUGAAAACUUUUUUUUUCCUUUUUGUU